CCCUGUGGUAGCUGAGCAAUCCGAAAUACUGAGAUCUCUGAGUACUUAAGGGAAACCCAUUCCCUGGAUCUUCGGGAAUCCCAACCACCUCUACCCACAGCUCCCAAUCCCAGUCGCUGACUGACCCCUAUCUCCUUUUGGAAUGUGUGAUGUCAAGUCAAAUGAAUGAAGUUAGGCAAUCAUACAACAGGUUGAUCAGCAACUUGAUUAUCACCUCGCAGGAUUUCCUACUUUUGGACCUCUUUAACGGGCAUUGGCUGGAUGAAGGGUUCUCUGUGAGCUGUCGUAUGAGGAAGCCCAAGCUAGCCACACAGAGAGGCCUCCCGGAAACAGCAGGCCUUGCGGACCCACCAGCUGACCAGAGCGCUCAAGUGAGCCCUGUCAACACCGCACACAGCAAAGCGGUGCAGUCCCAGCUGGGCCUAGCUGAAUGCAGACAUGCGAGUUAACCCAUGCAAGCCCAAUAGAAGAACUUGCCAGCCAACCCAUAGAAUCUUAAGAAAAAAUAAAUCAUUCUUGGUUUCAGCCA